UUAUGUGCUACUCAGUCGAUUCGUAUAUGUUUGUUUGAAGAUACUUUAUAAGUAAAUUUCCAAAUCUCAAAAUUCUCAAAUCGCCAAAAUUCCAUAUUUUUAAACCUUCACUACCUGAAAUUUUCAAAACUGGUCAUGCCUUUUUUCGCUUUCUGUAUAUUUUGUUCACUAUGUAUAUGACUGAAGUUAUUCGAGCUGCGCGCACAACACAUUUACGAUUGCGCAAACCGAGUAUGAUCUAUCGUAAAAACUUACGUAUAUGACUUGUUCAAUGCUACAAUUUCAAAUUAAUUCGAAUAGUUUUUGAACACAAAUAAUUAAAACAAAAGAAUAUUUAUUUUUAAACUUGCAUUACAAUGGCAAAUGUUGUAAAAUUUGUAAAAAGUGUUUACCACGAUCCUUUUCAAUGGUCAGUAGUUAAAAGUAUUGGAUUAUUCGUAUUAGGCAUAAAGAUUGCUAUUGAUUGUAAAGGCUUAACUUUAAUGCCAACGUCCUCGUAAAAAUUUUGGAAAAG